AAAAACAGUGUAAAGCAACCUCAUUUAUUGCCAGCAUAACGCGAUAAAGUUGGACCCCGCCACUUUCGAGGACUUCCAAUGGCUAGACCUACCAGAGUCGUCGCCAUUAUUUUUCCUUUCGGUGCCGAGAAACAAGCAAACAAGUCCGAGAAAGACAGCUAAAGUUGCUGAUUCCUGUUGAGGAAUCUCAUAUCAGAUCCAGAAAGGACUCCACGUCUCGUUGCGAUCAAACCCGGUGAAGAUUUUGAGCUCUUGAAGGAGAAUGAAGAGAAAGAGGGACUCAACAGACGCAGCGACCACAUCUGCUUGUGUCAAUGACGGCAAUUCGUCAUCAGAAGCUGGAUACGAGGUGUUUUUGAGUUUCAGAGGCCCCAAUACUCGCCUCAAUUUCACCGAUUACCUCUAUCACUCCUUAGUCCAAGCUGGGAUUCACGUUUUUAGAGACGAUGAAGAGAUCCAAAAGGGCAAAAAGAUUGAAGGUGAACUUCUGCAUGCCAUUGAAUCCUCCAAAAUAUACUUGCCUAUCUUCUCUAUGAACUACGCAUCUAGUAAGUGGUGUCUUCGCGAGCUCACACACAUGCUAGAGUGCUCAAGCAAAGUGAAUGACAAAGCGAUCCUACCCAUUUUUUAUGAUGUAAAUCCCGAUGAUGUAAAGCUCAAAACUAAAUUGUACCGCCAAGCUCUGAAGAAGCAUAAGGAGAAGGUCGGCUGCGAUGAGGUUCAGCAAUGGAAGAAAGCUUUGACCGCGGUCGCAAGAAUCGCGGGAUGGGAAAUGAAGGACAAAUGCCAAGGUGAAACCAUCAAAACUAUUGUUUAUGAGGUUUUGACCAAGUCGAUGAGCAGAAAGAGAACAUUGCCGGAUCAUUUAGUCGGGAUUCAUGAUCAUGUUGAAGCUAUCAUUGACAAGUUAAAUGAAGAUUCUCAUGAUGUUUGCUACUUGGUCAUCUAUGGAAUGGGCGGCAUCGGUAAAACAACUCUCGCAAAAGCUAUCUUUAAUCAAAUCUCUAAUCGAUUUGAAGUCUGUAGCUUCCUUUUAGACAUUCGCGAAUCUGCAAAACACCAAAGAAUUGUUGACUUACAAAAAACAUUGUUAUUAGAAAUUCUCCAAUCCCAAUUUCUAGAAACUCUCACUUCUGUUGACUUAGGGAUUGAAAUGAUUAAAAAAACAUUUCGUGAUAAGAAAGUUCUCCUUAUUCUCGAUGACGUGGAUAAUAGGGAUCAACUCUCUAAGCUAGCUGGGAAGAAGGAUUGGUUUGGUCUAGGAAGCAGAAUCAUCAUUACAACAAGGGACAUCAACUUUUUGCCAAUCAAAGAGAAGGACAAAGAGAGUAGUUUCCAAGCACAUUCUCAAAAAUUUCAAUACUAUAAAAUGAAAGAAAUGGAUUUUGUUAAUGCUCUUUGGCUUUUUAGUAAACAUGCCUUUGAGAUGGAUUUACCACCACAUGACUUAGAUGAUAUGUCAAGGAAAAUUACUACCAAAACAGGUGGACUUCCUUUAGCUCUUGAGGUUAUUGGUUCCUCACUUCAAGGCAAGAGCAAAACGUUUUGGAAAGCCACUUUGCAAAAGUUAAAGUCAGUGCCCAACCGAGAAGUCUUCAAUAAAUUAAAAAUCAGUUAUGACAUGUUAGAGCUUGAGCAACAAGAGAUCUUUCUUGAUAUCGCAUGUUUCUUCAUUGGAAAAGAUAUACUCCACCCGGGCUAUAUGUGGAAAGCUUCCAACUAUUUUCCAAAGACGGAACUACGUGUCCUUAUUCAUAAGUCUUUGAUAAAGAUAACAACAGAUCUUAAAUUUUGGAUGCAUGAUCAACUUAGAGAUCUUGGAAGAGAAAUCGUUAGGUGUGAAGACAUCAAUUUUCCAGAGAAUCGUAGCAGGUUGUGGGAGCCUGAGUUUGCCCUUGAAGUGGUUCAGAGGAAAAAGGUAAGCUAUUGUCACCUUACUAUUUUCUUUAGGAAAAGCUCAACCAUGCAUUUUCCAAAGGUUGUGGAGUUAGUUUCUUGCUGGUACAUUUUUUUUUAUUUAACUUUUACUUUGGCGAAGAAAAAAAGAAAAAGGUUUGUAUAAGAAUUCAUGAUGGUAAUUCCGUUAUAUAUCAUAUCUAAAAAGUUACAACAUGAAAGUUAAUAGUAGCAAACACUUCAGGAGUACAUUUAGUUACUAGUUUGUUCAACCAAUUAUGUGAAAGCAGAUCCAUAUUGCAACUCCCUAGGCUAUCAAGGCUAUUUAAGGCUGAUUUUAUUCCUUUUUGCUAAGUUGGAAAUCAUUAGCAACAUUACUUUGCAAUGAGACCCCUUACCUGAAAAAUGGUAAUAGAUUUUGUAAUUGAUUGUAGUGUGCAAUCUUUUGUGUAUAGCCCAGUAGAGCUUUCAAAUAAUAUACGAGAGACUUUUAUGAGGUUGGUUGAAAAUCUUUACUAUUAUGAAAGCAGAUCCCUUUUUUACAUUGCUCUUUUAUCCUGUGGAAUCAGUAACGAGUCCUAAAACAAGACAGACUUUCUAACUCCUGUCUUCAUCGUGCAAUUAAAGUCAGGAAACCUAAUAGGGGACGCUCUCGAGUAAAUCGAGCUCCCACACACUCCAGACCAAGCAGAUUUCGGUACAUGGAGUUGGAAUGGGGUUAUAGAUAAUUUGGUUUGGCAACUUUUUCUAAAUUGGAAAACCAUUGCAGAAUUUUUUUGUUGCAAAAAUAAAUAAAUAUGGUGGCAGUAUAUCUAUCAAACGGUUUUGCUCAACGAUAUUAAAGUUUCUUGCUAUCAUUUGGCGAUAGAGCUUUAAUUGAUAGGUUGGAAUUAUUAUUUUGCUUUAUACAGCAUAAGCCAUUCAUUUCAAUUGUACGAACUUCUUUCUUAUUCUUUUCUCAAUUUAGAUUUGCGUGAACCAAUAAUGUGUGUUUUAUUACACUGAAUAUAAUCAAGCUUCUCAGACUUGUACAGCACCUUGUUUGUAAUCCAAUUCCAAUGUUUACUUAUGCUUUUCCUAUCACCAAGGGACACAGAAAGUCGUAGCACUCAAACUAACAGGACUCUCGAAAGAGCAAACUUUCACAAGUGAACAAUUUUUAAGGCUACCUAAUCUAAGAUUCUUGGAAUUAGAGGGCGGAAACUUUGUUGGGGACUUCCAGAAUCUUCUCUCAAAGUUAACAUGGUUAACUUGGAUUGAUUUCCCUUUGGAUUUAAGUGCAACAAAUUUGUGCCCGGAGAAGUUAGUCGUGCUCUUGCUUAUGGAUAGUGAUGUUAUUGAAGAUUGGGCCGGAUGGAAGUCAUGCCUGGUGAGUAAGAACUUGAAAGUUCUCCAUUUUGGCUCAAGCGUAAAAAGGAUUCCCAACAUCUCGAAAUGCUCAAAUUUGGAGAGAUUGACUAUUGAUUCGUAUGAAAGCUUGCUAGUGACUAAUGACUUUCUCUCUCAACUAGAGCACCUAAAGUACUUAAAAAUCUCCUCUGGGGAAAUUGUGACCCUUUGUGAUGACCUUUUUCCAAAACCUUCUAUAUUUGGUAGUCUAAAAUCCCUAUCAACGCUAAUAAUAAGAGGGAGCUCCAUUCAACAACUUCCACAUAUUGGAGAGAUGACAAGUCUGACGGAAUUGUCUUUGAUGAAUUCUACUUUGACUAAACUUCCAAACUCCAUCGGAGAUCUUAGAAUGUUGAGGACGAUGACAUUUACAAACAGUUGGAUAGUGAAGCUACCGAAGACAAUAGGAGGAUUAGAGUCUUUGCUUGAGCUAGAUUUGACAAGAACAGGAAUUAGAAAAUUACCUACUUCUAUUGGGAAUCUUAAAAAGUUGAGGAAGAUGAACUUGUGUCAAGCUCCUAUAAAGAAGCUACCGAAGGAAAUAGGAGGGCUAGAGUCUUUGCUAGUGCUGCAUUUGAACUCCACAGGUAUUACAAAGUUACCUACUUCUAUUGGAAAGCUCAAACAAUUGGAGAUUUUAGGUGUAUGCAGUACUGCGAUUAGAGAGCUACCAAAGGCCAUAUGGAUGCUAAAGAAUCUUAAAGUUUUGGAUGCUGGACACUGUAAAAAUAUCAAAUAGCAAAAUUAGGAGAUUGCCCACAACUAUGAAUAAGCUUUCGCAUCUCCAACGACUUUGUUUGGGUAAAUGUGAUGAACUUGAAAAGUUGCCAAAACUCCCUGUGAGUUUGAAGGAGUUAAACUUCUCACCUCAUUUAUUGUGGACAAGCCUUGACCUCUCAUACCUAUCUAACCUAGUCGAUCUUCAUAUAUGGGACAACACUCCUCGGUUGCCAGAAUUUAGACAAGGAGCCCCGAAUAUAAAGUGGAUCGAGGGGUUAUAUUGUCUAGAGAAAUUGACGCUUGUCAUUGGAGACAUCAAAUUACCUCGAAUUAAUUUGGCUACUCUUUCUUGUCUUCGGAUUCUUGAUAUAACUUGUGCUCGUCUACAAUCUCUCAAGGGGCUUUCAUGCAGUCUUGAAGCAUUGACUCUACGUCAUGUGAAGUCACGCAUGAAAAGGUCACUGUUUUCCAACUUGACAAAUCUGUCUCGUUUGAGGUUUGAUUAUUCAGCUAAGAAAGGUCAAAUUUGAUGAUGUACUUGGAAAACAACUGGAGAAACUGCGGAGUUUGGACUUUUUGGGAAAUAAAUUGCUUAGGAGGCUUACUGUAUCAGGCUUAGAGGGGCUCCAACAAUUGAGGAUGAUUUCUUGCCCUGCGCUAAUGGAGAUUCGAGGUGUGGAGGAAUUGGAAUCGCUAGAGGAGUUGGGUAUUCACGAAUGCAGUUUUUUAGAAAGGUUGCCCGAUUUAUCAAAAUUAAAGAAGCUGCAGACGUUAAAACUCACGGACAUUCCACUGGAAAGGUUGCCUGAUUUAUCAGAAUUAAAGAAGCUGCAGAGGUUGACACUCACGGGCAUUCCACUGGAAAGGUUGCCUGAUUUAUCAAAUUUUAAGGAGCUGCAGGAUUUGGCUCUCGUCGGUUUCCCACAGGAAAAGUUGCUUGAUCUACCUAUUCCAGACACAUGUCUAGUGGAAUUUGAAGACUUUGAGGGCAUUUACGAAGAAUGGAAGGAUAAUUGCAGAAAUGGAGCGGGUGAUACCUUCGACCAACUCCAGAAAGAAUAAAACAUCUCAUCCUCUCACGGACGAACAUGCUCAUCAGGGAUCAUUUGAGAACAAGAUCGGCUUCAUUGGAUUGAAGGAGAAGUUCGCUGGGACCAGCUGGGGAAAGAAAUACCGGUAAUUUACUGCAUAUAAGCUGAAAUUCUGGAUGGCACAAAUCUCGAAAUACAAAAAUGGUGGAGAGGCAGCCAACAUUUCUCUUGAUCAGUGAUGAUGGGUUGAUACAAGACUUGACAUUUUCUCCAAGAGCAAAGAACAUAGUUUUGUUGUUAAGAAUUGUCUUAAAGCAAUCUCUUGAUUCAACCUGGCUAUGAGAUCUUCCAUGUCUGUUUUUGCUGUAGAUAAACUCUCUUGCGCAGUUGUAAGAACUCUGUUCAACUUAUACCCCUCUUCUGAUGAAAGAGGGACAGCUAAGACCCUUGGAAAACUGUAACCUUGCAGUGGCAGGAUGUUGCGCCUCAGGAAAUUCGGGAUUGUACAUAGUGUUGUUUGCAAUGAGGCUCCUCUGCCACUCGCCAUGCUGUUUACACCUCUGUUGCAUACUUCAAGUGAGGAAAAUCUUUCCAUGUUGUCCAAAAUGAACUUUCUAUUGA